rnacentral:rRNA from 1 species
GGAAGGUGCAAGCGUUAAUCGGAAUUACUGGGCGUAAAGAGCGCGUAGGCGGCUAGAUAAGUCGGGUGUGAAAGCCCUGGGCUCAACCUGGGAACUGCAUUCGAUACUGUCUAGCUAGAGUGUGGUAGAGGGAGGCGGAAUUCCGCAUGUAGCGGUGAAAUGCGUAGAGAUGCGGAGGAACACCAAUGGCGAAGGCAGCCUCCUGGACCAACACUGACGCUGAGGCGCGAAAGCGUGGGGGGAGCAAACAGGAUUAGAUACCCGUGGUAGUCCACGCCCGUAAACCGAUGUCAACUAGCCGUUGGGAGCAUUUUGGCUCUUGGUGGCGUAGCUAACGCGAUAAGUUGACCCGCCUGGGAGUACGGUCGCAGAUUA